UACGUAGGGGGCAAGCGUUGUCCGGAAUCAUUGGGCGUAAAGCGUGCGCAGGCGGUUCGUUGUGUCGGCGGUGAAAGCCCCGGGCUCAACCUGGGAAUGGCCGUUGAAACUGGCGAACUGGAGUGUGGCAGAGGGGGGUGGAAUUCCGCGUGUAGCAGUGAAAUGCGUAGAGAUGCGGAGGAACACCGAUGGCGAAGGCAGCCCCCUGGGCUGACACUGACGCUCAGGCACGAAAGCGUGGGGAGCAAACAGG
rnacentral:rRNA from 1 species